GGGGGUAUAGCUCAGUGAUGUAGCACGCACUUAGCAUGCAUGAGGUCCUAGGUUCAAUCCCCAGCACCUCCA
rnacentral:tRNA from 1 species